GAUGAACGCUGGCGGCGUGCCUAAUACAUGCAAGUCGAGCGAACAGACGAUGAGCUUGCUCCUCUGACGUUAGCGGCGGACGGGUGAGUAACACGUGGAUAACCUACCUAUAAGACUGGGAUAACUUCGGGAAACCGGAGCUAAUACCGUAUAAUAUAUUGAACCGCAUGGUUCAAUAGUGAAAGACGGUUUUGCUGUCACUUAUAGAUGGAUCCGCGCGGCUUUAUCUAGUUGGUAAGGUAACGGCUUACCAAGGCUACCAUGCGUAUCCGACCUGAGAGGGGGAUCGGCAAAACGGGAGCUGAGAAACGGUCCAGAAUCCUAGGGGAGGAAGAAGUAGGGAAUCUUCCGAAAGGGGCGAAAGCCUGACGGAGCAACGCAGCGUGAGUGAUGAAGGGCUUCGGAUCGUAAAACUCUGUUAUUAGGGAAGAACAAAUGUGUAAGUAACUAUGCACGUAUUGACGGUACCUAAUCAGAAAGCCACGGCUAACUACGU
rnacentral:rRNA from 1 species